UACGUAGGACCCAAGCGUUAUCCGGAGUGACUGGGCGUAAAGAGUUGCGUAGGCGGACAAGUAAGCGAAUAGUGAAAUCUGGUGGCUCAACCAUCAACACAUUGUUCGAACUGCUGGUCUCGAGAAUGGUAGAGGUAGCUGGAAUUUCUUGUGUAGGAGUGAAAUCCGUAGAUAUAAGAAGGAACACCAAUGGCGUAGGCAGGCUACUGGACCAUUUCUGACGCUGAGGCACGAAAGCGUGGGGAGCGAACCGG
rnacentral:rRNA from 1 species